AGUCGAACGGAACUGUUUUGAAGAUUUCUUCGGAAUGAAUUUGAUUUAGUUUAGUGGCGGACGGGUGAGUAACGCGUGAGUAACCUGCCUUCAAGAGGGGGAUAACAUUCUGAAAAGAAUGCUAAUACCGCAUGACAUAUCGGAACCACAUGGUUUUGAUAUCAAAGAUUUUAUCGCUUGAAGAUGGACUCGCGUCCGAUUAGUUAGUUGGUGAGGUAACGGCUCACCAAGACCGCGAUCGGUAGCCGGACUGAGAGGUUGAACGGCCACAUUGGGACUGAGACACGGCCCAGACUCCUACGGGAGGCAGCAGUGGGGGAUAUUGCGCAAUGGGGGCAACCCUGACGCAGCAACGCCGCGUGAAGGAUGAAGGUUUUCGGAUUGUAAACUUCUUUUAUUAAGGACGAAAAUUGACGGUACUUAAUGAAUAAGCUCCGGCUAACUACGUGCCAGCAGCCGCGGUAAUACGUAGGGAGCAAGCGUUGUCCGGAUUUACUGGGUGUAAAGGGUGCGUAGGCGGCUUUGCAAGUCAGAUGUGAAAUCUAUGGGCUCAACCCAUAAACUGCAUUUGAAACUGUAGAGCUUGAGUGAAGUAGAGGCAGGCGGAAUUCCCCGUGUAGCGGUGAAAUGCGUAGAGAUGGGGAGGAACACCAGUGGCGAAGGCGGCCUGCUGGGCUUUAACUGACGCUGAGGCACGAA
rnacentral:rRNA from 1 species